CCGGAACUGGGCAGAAGAUGAACAUGAUUCUGUUAUAAACAAGACAGUCUUCAAAGAAAAGGCAGUAAAAACCGCCAGGUUAAAAGAUAAAACUAGCUGACGAUAUAUGGUACUGUCUCUUCUAUUUAUGGUCUAUUUCCUCGCAAACAAACAGAACUACCCCAGUUGAACCAGUGGAAUUAUAGAGAUUUCAAGCAGCAAUACAAAAUGAUUGACACAAUAAUAGUGCACUAUUUCUGUAAUAUAAAGUGAUUCUAAACGCAACUUAUGUUUAUAUGAAAGGAAAUUUUGUGUAUCAUAUUAUAAUAUAAAAACUUAACAUUUCUAAACAUUUUUACCCCAGACCAAACUGUUAUGUGCAAUCAUUGUUUUUUUUUUUGUUUUGUUUUUUUUUGUUAGUGCUGUCAAUGUUCAAGGGUUAAUGAUUAAUCAGAUUACAUGUUUUAAUCGAUUUACUAGCUCUCUCCCUGGCUCUCUUGCUACAGGAAGUGCUGCUCGCUGCUGACCAAUGGAAGGCCAGGCUGUAGUAUUGAGGGAGGAGCCAGCUAUUUAAUUAGAGGAUCCAAAAUGGCUUCCAGAGUAAGAGAAGUGGAGAACCAUUGUUGUGCCAUGGUUCAUUUUGGAUUUGUUUUGCCUUGUUCUGUUAGAGAUUUGAUUGUGUCAUGUGGGGUUUCAGACAGUAACCACAGCGACGCAGAGGCCUCGGGCCCGAGUGUGAUCCCUGCUGAAGUCUGCCUGACGCACACACAGGAAGAGCAGCCGUGCUGCCAUGCCAGGGUCCAGAGAGAGAGCCACUUCAGUCCGAACAUCUGCAGAACACGUAAUCCAGCGAGUGUUGGGAUUGGCUGUGUAGAUGGAGAGAGUGGCUCCUGAGAUGCAGACACGGCUGGGCCUGAGGAGAAAGCAAUUACUGGGGUAAGAACAAUUAUUAAUAUCACUAUUUAACAAUGUUAUUAUGUUUUUAGUGUAAAACAUGUUUGACAAAAUAUCUCAAGAAUCUGUAAUGUUAUUCUUAAUGGUUUUCUUCCUGAGGAUUAUUGCGAUCCUAAGCAUAAUCACCUGCGCAACAAACUCAAUUAGUCCUGAAGACUUAAUUACUAAAUUAGAUUUUAUUUAAAACUGAUUAAUUUAAGGGACAUAUUCUAUCAAUGGUUGAAGCCUAUAUUACACAAGAGUCUGAGUAAAUCACUGGAAACCAAGUGAAUGUUUUGGGGAGAAACAUCCUUAGUAUUAGGGAUGCACAAUGAUAUCGGAAUUAUAUUGUUAUCAGCUGAUAAUUGUUUUUAAAAUAUUUGCUGAUAUAUUUUUUAUUUGCUGGAUUUAACACAAAUUUCACAGCAUUACAUGUUUCUGUUAAGAGGCAUUAUGCAGCUUCACCAAAGUUACAUAGUGCCGUUAAAUAACGCUCUUGCCUGGAGUAGCAAGAAAAACAGUGGCUAAUUUUCAGAUUACAGUCAAUAAAGCAUAAUCAUGAUUACAAAGCGGUUCUUUUAAAGAUUGAAUUCCUACAUAAUGCUGCUUUAACUAUGUCUAAAACAUAACAUACCUGCAUAAGAGAGAAUUUUCCGGAGUGACACUGUGUGUUUCAUCUCCUUCAGUUCCCUCCUCAGCCUGCGGCACUCUUGUUCCUGAACCUCCAUCUGGUCCAUUAGAUCCUAAACACACAAACACACACACACAACACACACACACACCAACAUCAAACCAAGAGUGUCCUGUACAGCAGAGCCCUGAGUACAGACUUUGAUGUAGUGUGUGUGAGGCACUACAAAGAGAGUCUGGAGCUGUGAGUGGAGUCAUUGCUGGACAGUAGAGUGCAGGUUUAGAUAGAGGUGCAGACAUCAGUCACCUUCAGAGCUUUGCUGGCUGGAGCAUCUCUUCUCUGAACCUCCUGGAGCUGCAGCACAAGAGCAUCUUUUUCCUGCUCUAACUCAGCUCUCUGAGUCACAAGCUGUCUCUCCAGAAACCUGCAAUACAUCACACACAUCAUAGAGAUGUUCAUAAGAACAGACACUAAAACUUUAGAGUGUUAUCCCUUAGCAACAUUUAAAUGCUGUAUAAUUUUAGUGUGUGUGCAUGUUUUGUAUGUGCACAUGUCCGUGAAGAUAUACACUGACCUGCCACAUGUCAUAGGACAGGAACUAGCUUCAUGUCCCAUGACUUUUGCCAUGUUCAAUGAAAGCUAAAGAAUAUUGCACUGAACUGAGUUUACCACCCCUUUAUAUGUCAUUUCUGAUACACAUGACUCUGUAGAUUGAGAACUAAAUAUCACGUCCAUCUGGCAUAUGCACUCAGGCCUUGCUCAAACUCUAAUAAUCUAUGUUCCUUUCCCGCGCACUCACAAGAUAACACCUCCCUAAAACAGGUGUGGGCAUCCACAAGCAGUCCCCUGAUGUAACCCUGCAUUCACCCUGGCAGGCGACAGAGCGACAGGCGGUCAUUCAUUUCCUAUGGGAGGAAGCGAUUUGUAGCCUUAACAUGGGGGUAAACUACUUUUUGUUAACUUUAUGCAAAUUAUUAUGACGCAAUGAGAGGACCUUCUACACUGAUUUGCCAAAAAAAUUCUUCAGAACAAUCACAGGCACAGAGGUCCGAGGUCCGCAGCUUUUGCUCUGUGAAUUUUUUAUGUUUCUACAUAUUUCGUUCAUAUCCCAGCAGUGUUUUUUCGCCCCAAUUAAAUUUUUUUACAGCCAAUUACCAAACCACUCAUUGUCAGCGAUCUCCUGAUCCUAGUGUCAGCGCUUAGCCCGCUGGACCACUUGGAGCCCCAACAGUAUGGUUCUAAAGGUGGCAUAGAGGCUUUAGCUGCUAUUUUUCCUCUUUGACUUUUUUAUGAUGCAGUUUGGCACAAAUUUGGUGUCAAUUAAGAGAAAAAUAAAGCUUAAAAAUAAGUAAUGGAUAGCUCAAUAGGUAGUUUGCUAGCAUGCUAACCAGCCAUGUCAAUAUUGAACAUUUAAACAAAUUUAUCUUAAAGAUGUUUUAAAGUAUUUUAGAUAAAUGGGAAAGAACUAACUUGUUGGCCACCCGGACAGCAUCGUAGGCAUGACGGAGGUCUUCUCCCUGCAUCUUCUCCGCUGUAGCUUUUGGCACACCCAGGUCCUCCAUUAAUGCAUUCUACACAUAAAAAUACCACACAACAUUUAUACAGUUUAAAAUAUUUCUACAUGGAUGUAUGAAAUUCUGAGGCUAUCUCAGAAUUAACCUUAGUAAAGUGAGGUACAGAAUGAAGCUGAUAGUGGUGGCAGGUCUUACCAAAGGUGGCUCAGGAUUCCAUGGCCUCCUAUCGAAGGGUGAGGUGACGCUGAUCCUCCUUCCAUCUUCAGCAGAGGAAAAGUCAGGUGGACCACUGAAGGCUGGAGAGAUGGGAGAUGGAGGCUCUAGAGACACACUCUGAGUGGAGUCAGUCCGCCUGUGUCCGCGCCAACGCUGGUGUUAUAUUUUUAUUGAAACACACAACAUACUUUGGUAAAGAACAGAAAUAUUAAACUCUUCUUGCUCACAAUAUGUUCUUUCUCACCGUGCCCCACUUUUUCUCUCUCCUGCAGCAGCAGAUGCCUACCUCAGCAGUAGGGAGCAUGCUCAUGUCCCUCAGGUUGUCGUAUCUCUGCUCUAGCCGAGUAAACUCCCUCAGCAAGCCCUGAUAUCUCCUCCGCUCCUCCUCCAGCUCAGCCUGUACUGCUGCUCCAGCCUGUGCCUGCGACUGCUGCCUGCUCUCUAAAACAUAUACAGUGCAUGCACAGCCAACAUAGUUAAAGCCACAAAUAUACAAAACCACAUGGAUAAAGACCCCAAAGUCAUCAUCUUGCCUUCUUGAGCCUUCUUCUCCUGCUCCUGUAAACGCGUGAACGAGCCUCGGCCCUCAGCCUCCGCAGCUCUCUCCGAGCCGCCUUCCUGCGCACACAGCACUGCAGCAGCACCACCGCAGCCCUCACACGCCUGAACCAGCGGCGGGUCAGGCAGCAGCGCACCCACGCCUGCAGACGCACCGCUGCCCGCUCUGCCACCAGCUGCACAGAGCCAGAGGAACAGGAUGAAGAGUCUCACCAUGUCAGCAAAGUGAAGUAUAAUGAAGGCUGAGUUGGACAUGCGUGGCUUGCGGAAGUUGUGGCUGUUGUUCAGAGCUGUACGAGCAGUAAAUAUCAAUGAAUCUCAGCCCACCUGAAAAACAACUCUGGACUUUUCCAGCAGAUGGAACUUGGCUUUCACCUGUAACCCAACUGUGAAGUAUACACUGUGACACAGUGAGCAGAUGUGGAUGGAGCACAUUGGACAGCCAACGGUGAGGGAUAAGGUCCUUGCUCAAGGGCCCAACAGUGGCAGUUUGUCAAACCCAGGUAUCAAUCCAAGCAGUGUUUAGAUAACAUGAUUAUGUUAUCUAAACACUGAGCUCACACUUAACCUGAUAUUUGCAUGCAAGUGCCAUAUUGCUAAGGGUAGUGGCAGCAACAUAAACCCAAAACCAAUCUGAGAGUUUUCCUUCUCGUCAAGAUUUCUUCUUGACCUCCACAGUUCCCCUGAACUGUCAAUUUUAGGUAUGUGCUAUUAAAUCCACAAGCUGUACUUGCCUGAAUAUCUUUUUACCAGAUUCCACUGCCUUGUGGGCAUUGAUUAUUUUCAUUUUCUGACUUUUAAAGAAACUUAAAGGAAGUCUGUGGUGGAUUAGUUUUUUCACGAAGUUAAAAGAGUUGUAUAUAAGGCAGGGAAAUUUGAUUCAGCUAAUUGGUGACUUGCUAUUCAAGUGCAACAAAACCUUUUUAUUAGUACUGACUGUGUGAUUAGUACUGAUGUGAAUGGUUAAUAUUCAAAACUGAAUUAAACACAUUUAACAAUUAGUAUAAACAAAAGUAUUUUGGAAUAGUGCUUAAAAAGCAGAACUUCCUGAAUAUGUCCAGGCCAACAACCGUAUUUCUCCAGCAUCAGCAUAAUACAGCCUCCUCUGCAUUAAACAUUAACACCAGUCAUUCAUUCCCCUGUGAUGUUCUCGUUCUUCAUCAGCUUUCUGAGCAAGAAACACUCAAAACACUGGAAUGUGUUCUCUUUUUCAGAAUUUCCAACUUAACAACCAACUCUGCUGCCAUGAUUGAUUUAAAUCCAUGCAAAUCUAUACAAAAAGAAGCCUUUUAUUC